rnacentral:rRNA from 1 species
UACGGGGGGUGCGGGCGUUGUCCGGAAUCACUGGGCGUAAAGGGCGCGUAGGUGGUCUGAUAAGGGUGUGGUGAAAGCCCGGGGCUCAACCCCGGGUCGGCCGUGCCGACUGUUGGACUAGAGUGCUGUAGGGGCAGGCGGAAUUCCGGGUGUAGCGGUGGAAUGCGUAGAGAUCCGGAGGAAGACCGGUGGCGAAGGCGGCCUGCUGGGCAGUUACUGACACUGAGGCGCGACAGCGUGGGGAGCAAACAGG